rnacentral:rRNA from 1 species
AUCCAACGCGUUGGGAGCUCUCCCAUAUGGUCGACCUGCAGGCGGCCGCGAAUUCACUAGUGAUUAGAGUUUGAUCAUGGCUCAGAAUCAACGCUGGCGGCGUGCCUAACACAUGCAAGUCGAACGCGGUUACCCCGCAAGGGGUAGCUGAGUGGCGAACGGGUGAGUAACACGUGGGUGACCUACCUUCGAGUGGGGGAUAACGUCCCGAAAGGGACGCUAAUACCGCAUAACAUCCUGCCUUUGAACAGGCGGUGAUCAAAGCCGGGGACCGCAAGGCCCGGCGCUUGAUGAGGGGCCCGCGUCUGAUUAGCUAGUUGGUGAGGUAACGGCCCACCAAGGCAACGAUCAGUAUCCGGCCUGAGAGGGCGGACGGACACACUGGGACUGAGACACGGCCCAGACACCUACGGGUGGCUGCAGUCGAGGAUCUUCGGCAAUGGGCGCAAGCCUGACCGAGCGACCCCGCGUGUGGGAUGAAGGCCUUCGGGUUGUAAAGCAAUCGAAUUCCCGCGGCCGCCAUGGCGCCCGGAAGCAUGCGAC